rnacentral:rRNA from 1 species
AACGAACGCUGGCGGCAGGCCUAACACAUGCGAGUCGAGCGCGCCCUUCGGGGUGAGCGGCGGACGGGUGAGUAACGCGUGGGAACGUGCCCUUUUCUACGGAAUAGCCUCGGGAAACUGAGAGUAAUACCGUAUACGCCCUUUGGGGGAAAGAUUUAUCGGAAAAGGAUCGGCCCGCGUUGGAUUAGGUAGUUGGUGGGGUAAUGGCCUACCAAGCCGACGAUCCAUAGCUGGUUUGAGGGGAUGAUCAGCCACACUGGGACUGAGACACGGCCCAGACUCCUACGGGAGGCAGCAGUGGGGAAUCUUAGACAAUGGGGGCAACCCUGAUCUAGCCAUGCCGCGUGAGUGAUGAAGGCCUUAGGGUUGUAAAGCUCUUUCAGCUGGGAAGAUAAUGACGGUACCAGCAGAAGAAGCCCCGGCUAACUCCGUG